rnacentral:rRNA from 1 species
AUGACCUGCGGCGGCCUCCCCGGCUCGCCGGCGCCGGCGCCGAUGCCGGCGGUGGCGGCCCCGCUGGAGGACGAGAACCUCCUCCCGGAGAUCCUCGUCCGCCUAGCCCCACUCCCAUCCGCCCUCCCGCGCGCCUCCCUCGUCUGCAAGCGCUGGCGCCGCCUCGUCACCGACCGCCGCUUCGUGCGCCGCUUCCGCGCGCACCACCUCGGCGGCCCGCCUCCGCUGAUCGGCUUCUUCGAGGAGGUCACCCGCAAGCCCGACCCCCACAACCCCGCCCCGGGCGACCCCAACGUCCUCUCCUUCACCCCUAUCCUGGAUCACCCCGACCGCGUCCCGGUCGGGCGCUUCUCCCUGCACCUACACGACGGCCACGGCCGCUCGAACAUCGGCUGCCGCGACGGCCUCGUGCUCCUCAUCUACCCGGCGGGCUUCGACAUCGAGGUCCUCGUGUGGGACCCCGUCACCGGCGACCAGCACCGCUUCCUCAUCCCCUGGGUGAUCGACGACGGCCAGGGCACCGAGAUCUUAAACGGGGCGGUCCUUCGCACCGCCGGAAUCCUCGACGAUCGCCCCUUCCGGUUCCAGGCGGUCUUGACCGGCGUCGACGGGCAGAACAAGCGGCUGUUCGCCUGCGUUUACUCGUCCGAGACCGGCAAAUGGGGCGAUCCAAUCUGGGUAUCCGCGGAUUUUACGAGCGGCGUAACCACCAUGAUUGAGAUGCGUGUUUCCAGUACCAUGGUUGGGAAUUCCCUCUACUGGUCCCUUUGCUCAAUUGGUUGGGAGGUAGCUGCCAUCCUUCAGUUUGAUUUGGAUACACAACACCUGGCUGUCAUACACUUACCCUGCUUGGGUAAGUGUAGUAGGAAUGGCAGCCGGACCUUCCGGGCUGUGCCCGUGGACGGCGGUGAGCUUGGCGUCCUUGAGCUGUUUGACGCCAACCUCCAGUUGUGGAAAAGGAAGAUCGACCGUGACGGUGUUGUUUCAUGGGUGCUGGAGAAGACUAUUGGAUUGGAGGAACUUCUUUAUAUAGAUAAAAGGAAAAUGGGCCCAAUGAUGCUCGGGUAUUGCGAGGACAAUAAUGUGGUGUUUAUAUGGACAUAUCACGGUAUUUUCAUGGUCCAGCUUGAGUCACUGGAAGUGUACAAGCCUCCCAUACAGACAUUUUACUGUUUGGUUCAUCCAUUCACAAGUGUCUACACUGCAGACAUGGGCAUUGGUGGUGAGCCUGAUGAAGACAAACUUCUGUGCAAUGCAAUGCAUAAGGUGACUUUAUAA